rnacentral:rRNA from 1 species
GUACACACCGCCCGUCACACCAUGGGAGUGGAUUUCACCAGGAGUAGGUAGCUUAACCCUCGGGAGGGCGCUUACCACGGUGGGGUUCAUGACUAGGGUGAAGUCGUAACAAGGUAGCCGUAGGUGAACCUGCAGAAGGAUCA